rnacentral:rRNA from 1 species
GUCCAUGCCGUAAACGUUGGGCACUAGGUGUGGGGCUCAUUCCACGAGUUCCGUGCCGCAGCAAACGCAUUAAGUGCCCCGCCUGGGGAGUACGGCCGCAAGGCUAAAACUCAAAGGAAUUGACGGGGGCCCCGCACAAGCGGCGGAGCAUGCGGAUUAAUUCGAUGCAACGCGAAGAACCUUACCAAGGCUUGACAUACACCGGAAUCAUGCAGAGAUGUGUGCGUCUUCGGACUGGUGUACAGGUGGUGCAUGGUUGUCGU